AUGAAGUUGUGGUUAAACUGGGUUUUUCUUUUAACACUUUUACAUGGUAUCCAGUGUGAGGUGAAGCUGGUGGAAUCUGGAGGAGGCUUGGUACAGUCUGGGCGUUCUCUGAGACUCUCCUGUGCAACUUCUGGGUUCACCUUCAGUGAUUUCUACAUGGAGUGGGUCCGCCAAGCUCCAGGGAAGGGACUGGAGUGGAUUGCUGCAAGUAGAAACAAAGCUAAUGAUUAUACAACAGAGUACAGUGCAUCUGUGAAGGGUCGGUUCAUCGUCUCCAGAGACACUUCCCAAAGCAUCCUCUACCUUCAGAUGAAUGCCCUGAGAGCUGAGGACACUGCCAUUUAUUACUGUGCAAGAGAUGCA